GUUGCGAGGAUGACACCGGCGUCCAACUCCAUCAAGACAACCUGAUCGUGCGGGCGGAUCUGAUUCAUUUCUAGCUUUAAAAACACAUUAGAACGAUGGCGCGGAUCUUUGCAGCUGCACGGACACGCUCGGUCGCGGCUGUUUUCACGUUUUUUGCGCUGUGGGGAUGUGCGCUCUCCAUCACUCGCUACUCUAUUCCGGAGGAGAUGGAAGAGGGCUCCUUUGUUGCCAACCUGGCCACGGAUCUGGGUCUGGAUGUUCGCAGUCUGGUGCAGCGCAGCGCGAAGCUCGAUGUCAUCCACAGCAAAAACUACCUCGACAUCAACAAAGAGACGGGGGAGCUGAUCAUCCGCGAGAGGAUGGACAGGGAGACAAUAUGCACGACCAAGACGACCUCCUGCUUUCUGAAAAUGGACGUCAUCCUCGAGAACCCCAUUCGCAUUUUCAACAUCGAGCUGGAGAUCAUGGACAUUAAUGACAACGCGCCCGUGUUUCGCAGGAAGACGAUGCCCUUGGACAUUUCGGAGGCGACCCCUCCCGGUGAGAGGUUUUCAUUGACAAACGCCGUGGAUGCGGAUGUGGGGGCCAAUUCAAUCAAGACCUACUAUCUCAGCGAGAGCAAAUACUUCAUCAUAGACAUACAAGCUGGCAGCGAUGGCUCCAAAUACGUCGAUUUGGUCCUCAGUGGUAAUUUGGACCGAGAGGAACAUGCAGUUCAUAAUCUGAUUUUAACCGCUGUGGAUGGAGGGGUGCCUCCCCGCUCCGGCACAGCCAACAUCAUCAUUAAUGUCCUGGAUAUCAAUGACAACGCCCCCCUGUUCAGUCAGCCGGUGUUUGCAGUCAACGUGUCAGAGAACUCGGCUGCAGGGACAGUGAUCAUGAAGUUAAACGCAUCAGACUUGGAUGAAGGCAAAAACAGCCAGUUGAUCUACUCAUACACACUGUACACCUCGGAGAAGACGCAGGAGCUCUUCUCACUUGAUCCAAACUCGGGUGAAAUCAGGGUGAAGGGGGUGAUCGAUUAUGAAGAGAGUCAAAGUUUUGAGAUGCACAUACAGGCCCAGGACAGAGGGGCCAACCCGCUGUCAGGCCAUUGCAAGGUGAUGGUGUUCAUUAUGGAUGUGAACGAUAACUACCCUGAAGUGACCGUCAAGUCUCUGAAAAGUGCACUGACCGAGGAUGUCUCUGUGGGGGCACUGAUCGCGGUGGUCAGCGUCAGCGACAGGGACUCUGGGGUCAACGGGGAAGUGGAGCUCAGCUUGAGUCAACAGGAAAUCUUACCGUUCGUUCUCAACAAAUCCUCGGAGGGUUACUUUGAGCUGCUGCUCUCAAAGCCUCUGGACAGAGAGGUCAUUAGCAAAUAUGAAAUCAUACUGAGAGUGACAGACAAAGGCUCGCCGCCCUUGUGUGAAAACGAAACCAUCACCGUUGAUAUUCUUGAUGUCAAUGACAAUGCACCCAAGUUCUCUCAGUCAUUCUACACAAUCCAUGUGGUGGAGAAUAACGUACCAGGGGCGCUGCUGACAUCUCUAAGUGCAUUUGACCCAGAUCUGAAUGAGAACCAGUACUUGGUCUAUUUCAUAAUGGAGAAGGAGAUCGUUAACACGUCUAUGUCAAUGCUGUUCUCCAUCAACCCUGAGAACGGGGAUCUUUAUGCCCUGAAAACCUUUGACUAUGAGAGGGAGAGGGACUUCCUUUUCCACAUUGAGGCGAGAGACUCAGGUGUUCCCCCGCUGAGCAGCAACGUGACAGUUCACAUCAUCAUUCUGGACCAGAAUGACAACACUCCACUCAUAGUAUCACCUUGGCGGGCGCAGGGCUCCUUGAUAGAGGAGGUGAUACCCAGGUCCACAGAGAAGGGGCACUUGGUCGCCAAAGUAAUUGCUAUUGAUGCGGAUUCGGAGCAGAACGCAAGGGUCACAUACCAGCUCCUGCAGAUCAGUGACGCAUCCCUCUUCAGUCUUGAUCAGUAUAACGGUGAAAUCCGGACGACAAGGAUGUUCAGCUACAGAGACCCAAGGCAACAGCGGCUUGUCAUCAUUGCCAAAGACAAUGGCCAACCUGCGCUCUCUGCUACUGUCACCAUCAAGAUAUCAACUGUGGAACACGCCAUGUCCUUUUCAGAGACCACAGAGUUGCCACUAGAAUAUGACGUCUUCACAGACCUAAACUUGUACUUGGUGAUCGGUUUAGGAGCUGUGUCAUUUCUGCUACUGAUAACCAUCCUGGUUAUUAUUGUGCUGAAGUGUCAAAAACCAAAGCCAAAGGCCAUAAAGAUCCCCCCGGCCAAUAGGAACAGCGUGAUCAGCAGAAACAGUGUGAUCAGCCAGAGGAGCUCCACCAUCGCAGAUUCCACCCUGAUCUCCAGCGAUGCCUACUGGUACAGUUUGUUCCUCGCAGAGACCAGGAAAGGCAAAGUGGUGGUGAGACAGCCCAUAAUCCCGAAAGGAGCCGGGUACUUUGUGUCCAGUAUACCCAGAAGCAUAGGGCCAAGUGAGACCACAGACUCCAGAGCGUCCACACUGGAGUACUCAAAAUGAAAGGAAGUCCAUUCUACAAGUGGAGGUAUGCUGGUUGCUGACUACAUUCUGUAGAUCCACUAUAACAGGAACCCAGGAGAGAACUGCCAUGAUAUAAUCAUCUCUUCGUGGGAAGCAGUGGCUGAAACUUUCCCCCUGUGACUCACAAGAGAAGAUGUCCUCCCCCAGUCUCUCUUCUCCAACGCUCCUUUCUCUCCAGCUCCUCCCACCCCCCCACAUACGAACAUCGACCACUAAUCGCCUCAGCUUUCUUCCUGUUUUUCUUUCUCUUCUGAGCAUGAAUCUGCAUGAUUCUAAGUAUUUUCAAAUGUUCAGUAUUUGGACAAUAGGAUCUGAACCAUUCAUGGCAGAACAUCUGGACGUUAAUAGAGUGGCCUCAUGUAGUAUUUCCCCUUCUCCUUAAUGCUUUGAAGCUCCUCAGUGGAAAAACUUGCCUUCUCUCCAGGGUUACGUUAUGUGCCGUAUCGUUCUUAAAACCAUCAGUAGGGUCACGAUCAUGCAACAUUUCUUAAGCAAACACGUCUAAUUGUAAAUACACAUGAAACAGGGUGAAUAAGAUUCUUCCAUAAACCUGGUAAAUACACAACUGUAGCUGGUUUUAUCAUUGAUUCAGGCUUUGCACUUGGUAUUUAUCUUUCUUUCUUUCUUUCCUUUUCUUUUUUUGAUAAAACAAUUACUAUACAACAACUAUAUUAUGAGUCUUGCUGUUUACCGAGGCUCGUUCAACUAGUAACUUUCCAAUGACAAUAAUCGGUGAUAAGUUUUUUUUUUACAAUGUUUGUUGUACUAACAGUGAUGAAUGUGAGAAAAUGACAAAAAGAGAAUGAAAGAAAACAAAACUGUAAAACGCGGAAAAUGCAAACAAACAGGAGAUCCGUAAUGUGUGUCUCAAGUCAACUGCAUCCUUUAGAGGAGGCGAUCUAUGACCGAGAAGACCGGAACGAAAUGAGACGGAUUGAUCAGGCUUUCCGUGAUCAGGGUCACCAGCUUGUCCCGCCCCUGUUGCCUAGCAACAGAGGUGUAGAUGGCCCAUCCAAGAAAGUUUCAAUGCCCCUUAGUUUGUAACUGUGUACUGUUGGGUUGAAGCAUUGGCAGUCUUGUCGGCUUCGCUUGCCAGCGCUGUUACUUCUUUGAAAAAUGCUUUGUCACUGAAACCCAAUGAACCCUGGGAAAGGUUGGGCCAGGAAGGAUUCUCCCGUUGGAGCCUUCGUUUCUUGGGGAUGGAGAAAAGCAUUUGUCAGACAGCCUAGUCAUGCAGCAAUCGGUCUUAAGUGCAGCCUCCAAGGGAUGCAGCCCCAGAAUUGAGACACAGACUUUUUUUUAUUUGAUUGUAGAUAAUGUAGUUCUAUAGAUUUCUGACACGCGCAGAAGUGCAGUUCAUACUUUACAGAGAUUCCGUGGUGCUGUAAAGUAUCUGACUGGGCAUUCGUUAAUAUGGGUGUAUUAGGGAAACGCAAAACAACACUGCAACAUUGAUUGUUUUCAAACAGAAAAUGUGUUCCAAGCAGGGUGCAUGAGGCAGGUGUGUCCUCAGGUGAAAUAUUUAUGGAGUGGGACGCUGACAUCAUGAACUGGGCCAGUACCAGAGUGUGCCCUAAGGUUCGAACACAAUUUAAAGUAUUGUCAAAAUUAACUUUUCUUUGUGAUAAGAUUUUGCUUAUGACACAUACAGUAUAAGCUAUUACAUCUUCUGUUCCCCCAGGCUGAUGAAACUGCACUACAAAUACUCACUGCAUUUAUUAAUGCACAUGGUUCAAAUUAUGUCAGUCACUGGAAAUUAAACAGAAAAUGUGUUAAAUGUUAAGUUAAAUGAAAAGAGCAACAUUUUUCAAAUGUAUUUAUCUUUGCCAUGGUAAAAAGGGAAUUUAAAACAAGGUGUUGUUUUAUGACUACAUGUUUUUAUAGAUAUUUUACGUAUUUACUAUUAAUGCUGCUUCUGUGAGCUUCUUCAAGGGCGUUUUUUGUGUUGCGUUUUUGUAGUUUAGUGUAGACGAUGUUGUUUUGAUAGUGUACAUACGUUUAACUAAAACAAGACUACUUUUCUUGACCUCAGACGGUAGCGCAGUUGCACUACUGUGAAGCCCAGGACUUUCUCAGAAACAGGGAGCUUAUUAGGAUCCCUCAUUAGGGUGCAAAAGUAUUUACAAGUAAGUGGUUAAGGCGUAGUGAGAUGAGGAACGUUGUGUUAUUCAUAGGUGCAGUAUUCCUGCACUGACUCUGCAAGUAAUAAGAAAAAUAACAGUGCUGAUCACAUAGAGGGAAAAGUACAGAGCAUACGACAGCACUUUGAAAUAUGCACCCUAUUCUUGAUGUGGACACAUCUUCAGACGUAUCAGGUAACAGUCUGAGUCAGGGAAAUCUAACCCCUCUAAUUUUUAGACCAGGCUGCUGAGCACAUAAACACAACUGUCUGUCUGACUCGUGGUGUCAUUUAAUGAAGCAUCUCUCGCUGUGGAGAACAUGUAAGCGCAGCUUUUGCCAGAACCGAUUGAUUCCAACAGUUUUUAAAGUAUUAUAAAUUGCACAUAUAUAUAUAUAUAUAUAAAUGAUGAGCCCCUUGCGUGCCUUCCGCAUUGUAAAAGAUUCUGUAUCUGAGACUGUUGAUGAAUGAAAUAAUGGCAUUUCGUACAGUAUUUAUCCCCAUGAGAAAAUACCACCUUGAAUAGGAGUUGUUGGAUAAAGGGACUCAGCCUUUUUGGUUUAGAACCAGUAGAUUACUGUAAAUUAAACUGCUUUAUACUUUGUGUUUUUUAUACAGUAGACUUUUUUGAUAUCUUCUGUAUUCACUGUGAUCGGACGGCACAGGGGGUGCUUGUGCUCGAUAUAGUAAAAAAAAAAAAAAGUGUUAUUCCUCAUUUGUGUGCGCAGCUCAGUUUUCUUUCUUUUCCUCAGUUGAUUUGCCAGUUCAGAUUGUGCAGUAAUGCUUCGGGAGUUGCAUCAAACGUAAUCCAGCUCCAUCCCACUAAGUGGAUCAAAGACAAUAUGGGAGAGAAUGGCCUUGCUUUAUUUUCAUGUCGAGUUAAUUGUCAGAUUUUGAUGUUGCUUAUUUGGCGUAAAUAUUCUGCCUGAUCAUGCUAGUUUGAAUAAAGCUUUUUAA